UGCGGGGGCGCAGGCCUCUUCUAAUCCAAGCAUCUCGACCAACAUCACAGAAGCAGAACGAAUAUUACAUGGUUCUCUGACCGUCCACCAUGUUUUAUUUCCAACUGAUCUCUCUCUGAAUUUCCUACUCCAUCAUGUCUGUCUGGGUAAUUUCAGAACCAAAGAUUGGUGAAGACUGAGUUUCUCUGGGCUUUCUUUCCUCUGCACUAAGAGAAAAGUCUAUUGUAGGAAACCGUCUGUGAGAUUCGUUGACUGUUGGCACUAAUGAAAAGAAAAAGAAAAGAAAAAAGAAAACUUUCUUCCCUUAAAGCUAUUUCAAAGAUCUUAGAUAAUGAUAGUAGAAAAUAACCCCCAAAACAAGAAGAGCAAGAUGCAAAAGUUUAACAUCAGGCCUAUUUUGUCAUCCUGAAAUCUAACCCACUUUGCUUUG
rnacentral:lncRNA from 1 species